GCCGGGGUGGUGGAAUGGCAGACACGGAGGACUUAAAAUCCUCUUCCCAAAAGGAGUGCGGGUUCGACUCCCGCCCUCGGCA
rnacentral:tRNA from 3 species